rnacentral:rRNA from 1 species
UACGAAGGGGGCUAGCGUUGUUCGGAAUUACUGGGCGUAAAGGGCGCGCAGGCGGCCCUCCAAGUCAGGCGUGAAAGCCCCGGGCUCAACCCGGGAACAGCGCUUGAGACUGGGGGGCUUGAGUUCGGGAGAGGAGAGUGGAAUUCCCAGUGUAGAGGUGAAAUUCGUAGAUAUUGGGAAGAACACCGGUGGCGAAGGCGGCGACCUGGUCCUUUACUGACGCUGAGGCGCGAAAGCGUGGGGAGCAAACAGG